GACGAACGCUGGCGGCGCGCUUAACACAUGCAAGUCGAACGGAAAGGCCUGCUUUCCCUUGUGGAUUGCGGGUACUCGAGUGGCGAACGGGUGAGUAACACGUGAGUGAUCUGCCCCCAACUUGGGUAUAAGCCUGGGAAACUGGGUCUAAUUCUCGAUAGGACUGCAGGGUGGUGCCUGUGGUGGAAAACGAUUUUCUAGUGGUUGGGGAUGAGCUCGCGGCCUAUCAGCUUGUUGGUGGGGUAAUGGCCUACCAAGGCGGCGACGGGUAGCCGGCCUGAGAGGGUGGACGGCCACAUUGGGACUGAGAUACGGCCCAGACUCCUACGGGAGGCAGCAGUGGGGAAUAUUACACAAUGGGCGGAAGCCUGAUGCAGCGACGCCGCGUGGGGGAUGACGGCCUUCGGGUUGUAAACUCCUUUCGACCGCGAGGAAGCCACCUGGUUGGAAGGGUGGUGACGGUAGUGGUAGAAGAAGCACCGGCUAACUACGUG
rnacentral:rRNA from 1 species